CGCUCCUUCCGGGCCAACGACUGUGUAGCUGACGGCCUCCGAUCUAGUCCUAUCCUGGACCUCCUACUCCCGCCGCCACCAACGGCACUGAUAGUGACAGGUCACACAGUUUUGUUGCAUUCUUAUGCCUUAUAUGUUGGCUUGAGAAAACUUCCACUUGGUGCUCUUAGCCUUUCAACUAUGAUGCUUUUAUCAGGAACCUACCAACUUUCAGUAGCAGCCUAGCUACAAGGGGUGUCAUAUAGUUUUGUAUGCAGUAUUUGAUCAACGAUGACUUUGAAGUAGCCCAAAAUAUGCAAUAAAAAGGAUUAAAAGGAUGGUCUUGUUUGUUGCCCAAAGUGUUCUUCACAAAUCCCGUAACACGUGAUAACUCCAGGGGUGAAAAGAACCAGCCUUCGUAAGAAGUGAUCUUCAACAUCUUUGCAUGCAGCUUCAAAUGCUUCUUUGUCAUCAUCUUCCUUCAAUACAGGCUCUUUGUAUUCCAAAAUUUAUUUUUCCAAUAAAGUUAGCGAAAUAUUCUUGUUUUUACUAUCCUUGUAGGUUCUAAACAAUUCAACGUCUUGACCUGUUAUCUCUGCCAAAGUCUUUAUCACCGGUCCUUCAUUGGGUAGGCCCGAAAUACACUUGACAUCCCAAGUUGUUAUGCGGAUUUUUCUGCCUUGGAUUUGUAUGCAUUGGCUUUCAAUGUCAUAUCAGUCAGCAACCCAAACACAACACUUUUGUUGUAUUGUUAUGUGUGGCAUCCAGAGUAAACCAUGAAACCCAAUU